rnacentral:rRNA from 1 species
UACGUAGGGGGCAAGCGUUUAUCCGGAAUCAUUGGGCGUAAAGCGCGUGUAGGCGGUUCCGUAAGUCCGCUCUGAAAGCCCAGGGCUCAACCCUGGGAGGCGGGUGGAUACUACGGAACUGGAGUACGGAAGAGGAGAUUGGAAUUCCUGGUGUAGCGGUGAAAUGCGCAGAUAUCAGGAGGAACACCAACAGCGAAGGCAGAUCUCUGGGACGUUACUGACGCUGAGACGCGAAAGCGUGGGGAGCAAACAGG